GUGCCCCUUCGUGGGCCGGCCCACCUCGCGCUGUAGCGAGCGCCGCGUCUCUUAAUCGGCGCCUGCAGGAGCUCCCCUCUUUUAUGCCCUAGGUGCAGCUCUCCUCGUUUCCUUUCCCCGGAACUCCUCAAUUCGGGCGCUCGAUUCGAUUCCUGGCUCGCCUCGGGCCGAUCUCACCUGUUGUUCAGACAUGACUGCUUGCAAGCAGACCACAUCCAUGGGCGCUGCCGCCAGGGACGAGGCCGAUAGCAAGUCGGCAGCGAAGAGAGAUGGAGCGGAGGAGCGGAAGUCCUCGACCAAGUGCAGGAAGGGGAAGAAAGCCAAGGGCAAGUUGGCGGUGAAGAGCAAUGGUGCGGAGAAGCCCAAGACCCAUGACCUUUCCGAUGUUACACGCGGGUUGGCGGUGAUGAGCAUUGCAAUGGAGAAGUCGUUGGAUGAAGAGCUCGCCCAGCUCGCCCUGUUCACCUACCAGAACAUCUUCUGGAUGGACAACUUCAAAGGCGUCUAUGACAAGCCGUCCGUAGAUGCUAUUAAAAGGAAAGCUGCUGAAAACUGGAAAUUCUUUAGCGAUUCGGACAAAGCCCCUUAUGUAGCCAUUGCACGUGUGAACAGAAUACUCAUUGCUGAGGCAAACGAGUUCAAGAAGAUUCCUUUCCCUUAUAGACACUGAAGUUGACGCUCGCGAUGACGGACAAGAUGAUGAAUCUGAAAAUGUGAACAGACAAGAUCUUUAAGAUGUGUUUGAAUAGAAAUGUCUUGUUAGAUGGCAGAAUUACUGCAACCAACUCCACAAAACCUGAUUCUGUCUGAGCGGCACUUGGAGGGUUGAGAUGCAAGUGCAGUUCAAGCUUCCCAUAUGGACAAUACUAGUUUAAAAUACGUUUGUGCUCCUGGCUUUAGAUGUUGAAGUCUUUUGCAUAUUGUUAUGUUUGGUUAGUAAAUUUGAAUGGCCGUUAAGUUAUUUCACUACUAAGCCCUGUGAUGACAUUGUGAGAAUGCAAGGGGCUGACCCCUACCAAGAGGGGGCAUGUUGUAUUAUGUACUACUAACCUCGUGAGAUGUACAUUGCAGUAUUUAACUAUGGAAAUAGUAAUUCAGAACU